rnacentral:rRNA from 1 species
UACAGAGGUCCCAAGCGUUGUUCGGAUUCAUUGGGCGUAAAGGGCGCGUAGGCGGCCCUCCUUGUCGCGUGUGAAAGCCCCGGGCUCAACCUGGGAACGGCGCGCGAGACGGGGGGGCUGGAGUUCGGGAGAGGAGCGUGGAAUUCCCAGUGUAGAGGUGAAAUGCGUAGAGAUCGGAAAGAACACCAACGGCGAAAGCACUCUGCUGGGCCGACACUGACACUGAGAGACGAAAGCUAGGGGAGCGAAUGGG